rnacentral:rRNA from 1 species
UACGUAGGGGGCAAGCGUUGUCCGGAAUCAUUGGGCGUAAAGAGCGCGUAGGCGGUCCGAUAAGUCCGCUCUGAAAGCCCGGGGCUCAACCCCGGGAGGCGGGCGGAUACUGUCGGGCUAGAGUCCGGAAGAGGCGAGUGGAAUUCCUGGUGUAGCGGUGAAAUGCGCAGAUAUCAGGAGGAACACCGAUGGCGAAGGCAGCUCGCUGGGACGGUACUGACGCUGAGGAGCGAAAGCGUGGGGAGCGAACAGG